CCUACGGGUGGCAGCAGUGAGGAAUAUUGGUCAAUGGCCGAGAGGCUGAACCAGCCAAGUCGCGUGAGGGAAGACGGCCCUACGGGUUGUAAACCGCUUUUGUCGGGGAGCAAAGACAGUCACGUGUGACUCAUUGAUAGUACCCGAAGAAAAAGCAUCGGCUAACUCCGUGCCAGCAGCCGCGGUAAUACGGAGGAUGCGAGCGUUAUCCGGAUUUAUUGGGUUUAAGGGGUGCGCAGGCGGAGGUGCAAGUCAGCGGUAAAAUUGCGGGGCUCAACCCCGUAUUGCCGUUGAACCUGUAUCGCGUGAGUGUGAGAGAAGUAUGCGGAAUGCGUGGUGUAGCGGUGAAAUGCAUAGAUAUCACGCAGAACUCCGAUUGCGAAGGCAGCAUACCGGCGCGCAACUGACGCUCAGGCACGAAAGCGUGGGUAUCGAACAGGAUUAGAUACCCGAGGAGUC
rnacentral:rRNA from 1 species